GGGCUGAUUUGGCUUUGAUAGCGUGUAGAGGUGGUAAGCAAGCAUGCAGAGCGAUGAUGGCAAUGCUCUUAAAUAUCAGUCAUUACUAAAUUUAACUGGCGAAAACACUUACGCUCUCGCUGCUUGAUUGAAGUAUAGUAGAUCGGCUUUAUCUUAGCCCAAGGAUAGUUAAGACGAGACAUCACCCGAUUGCCCUCGCUCCGAGGCGUUUCGAACAAGUGGUGCUGGAAUAUCGGAGAUAGGGUGCGUUUGGACGAGGGUUCAAACCCCUCCAGCUCCACA
rnacentral:tmRNA from 1 species